GAAAUGCGAUAAGUAAUGUGAAUUGCAGAAUUCCGUGAAUCAUCGAAUCUUUGAACGCACAUUGCGCCCCCUGGUAUUCCGGGGGGCAUGCCUGUCCGAGCGUCAUUGCAACCCCUCAAGCACGGCUUGUGUGUUGGGCCCGCGUCCACCUCUGGACGGGCCCGAAAGGCAGUGGCGGUAUCGUGCUCCGGUGCCCGAGCGUAUGGGGCUUUGUCACCCGCUCCGGAGGCCCGGCCGGUACUCUAGCCGAGUUGUAUAUAUAUAUACAUUUUUUUCGUGGUUGACCUCGGAUCAGGUAGGGAUACCCGCUGAACUUAA
rnacentral:misc_RNA from 1 species